AAUCAAUGGGGGAAACCACGCUGAAAACAAACAUAAACCCAGAAAACGAUACAAAUCUAAGCCCUUUCAAUAAGGAUGGUGUUCAAUACAAAAUUUGAAAUGCUUGUAUCUGCUCAGGUGAACACAUGACUAGUUCCAAGUUUGAGGAAAUUCUUGAACAAAAAGUGCACAUCAAAGCAGUGAGCUGGCAGUACACCCUUCCUUCCCCAAAAAGUUUUCAGGAAGAGGCUGCACAGCCAUCAGUUAGUGAUGUCACCAGGGAGGUAUCUGGCUUCCGGUAGGAAAUUGCUCUGGAUGAGCUUUAGGAUUCUUAAAACUCUAAGGUUCUGGGAUAUGCUGAAAAUAAUGACCAUGGUUUGACCUGAUCAACCACGAGGCCCUCUGAAAGAAUGAAAUCAACUCAAAUAGCAAGACAUUCUACAAGUUAGCUGAGUGUAAUGAUAUAUUUUAAACCCACACUCAGACCUAUAACCUACACUAUAAAUUUUUACCAGUACUAUUUGAUGACCUUAAGCAUUAAAAAAUCUAUAUAACUAAAAAACCCCUAUUAUCAGUUUCUACUUCAAGAUGCUAGUUGAUAGCCACUCUACAGAACCAGGCAAAGACACAACUGAACUGUGAUGUAACAGAUUGUCAGUAUUAAAUAAUAGCUUCAUCUCUAUUCUGCCCAUUUCUGGGAUCAAUGCACCUUCUAAAUUUUUUCCCCUUCUACCUUAAUGGAUCCUUCCGCAUGCUGCUGAGGUAGGGGAGGAGAGGUAUAAUUAUUCUCAUUUUACAGAUGAAGAAACAGAGGCAUAGAGAGACUGAGUGUCUGGUUGGUCUGGAAUAUCGGUACUAAAUUGCCUUCCCACCUCCUUUUUGCAAAAUCGUCAGCAUGAAGAGUCAUACAUAAUACAUUUUACUCUUCAAUUAAAGCCAAGGGUUCAGGGAAGAAAGGAGGGAGAAAGUGAGCUUUUUUGGGUAACCCUGUUUUCUUUUAGAGGACAAAUGUGCUUUUCUUAAGACACUGCUAAGUGUAAGUAUUAAAAACUGAACACUGAGAAACAAAGCUGGGGCACUGACAAAGCCACGUGUGAAGGCGGGCUUUCUGCCGUAUUAUUCAGAGCUUCCUGAGACUUCGGCUCUCCCAAGAGGCUCACUGUACAAGUCAGCUUUGCAUCCAACUUCAACACACAAUGUUUCCAGUCAUCCCAGAGCUCUUUUGGACAAAACAAGCUAAUUGAAGAAUACCUUGGUCAAUAUAAAGAAAUAGUAUUAUUUGAUGACCAUCCUAGAAUAUAGAAACAUAGCUUUAUGCCCAAGCAAUUCAUCGACAAAAAGGUUAAGAAUGGAAAUCUAUAAUGGUUCCUCAGUUCUGUGGCUCAUAAGCAAAACAUUAAUUUCCAAUAUCUAAAUACCUUCAGAGGAGGAAAUAUUUUUGGAUUGGUCCGGUCACAUGAAAUCUGCCCACAUAAGAUCUGAUUUGAAAACUUUCAAUACAAAGUGCUCCGUUUAACAACAGACUGGCACAUCUGCAUGGUUGGCAUCUGAUGCUGUGAUAAAGGAAUGCUAAUUUUGAGUCUGCCAUAGAGAGAGGCAUAUGUACAAUUUGUAUUUUCUCCAUAUUAAAAAUAUUUCUUUAAACAAAAAUAAAUUCCAGUCAGCCUCUUCUAAGGAAGGAGGAAAAUUAUUAAGUUUUCAAAACAGUCACAAUGAAAAGACCAGAAUAUUAGCAAAAACUGUUAGAUAUGCUUGUCAUUCUUACAUGUAAGAUGAAGUCACUACGAUGCUUUGCUUAAUUUGUUUAUCUCCCAAUAUAGGCUUUGAAAAACUCCUCUAAAGGCCACAACUUUGUAAGGGACGUAUAUGGUUUCAUGAUAUUUCUGCUGUAGAAACUUCUUAGGUUAGCACUCCCCCCCACACACAAAAACCCCAAAACCAACCAAACAAAAAAAUUCAAAGACCCAAAACCAACCGAGCAGAAACUGACUAAUCAAACUCAAGUUUCCCAUGAAGGUACCAACAAUGAAGUAGCUAAUUAAAAAAAUAAAGUGUCACAUUUAUAAAGCCUAGAGAAAAUCAACCAAGUUAACAAAAUGCAUUCCUUACUUAAUCUUCAAAAACAAAUAACUACUACUGCUGCAUGUUUUAAAUCCCCAAGUUUAGGAUUCUGAAGUCUUUGUAAUAAAUCAAAACCCUAACCAUCUUUAAAGCUAUGUUAAAAUAAUCCUGGAACUCUGGAAUGUUAUCACCUCUUAGGGAUAUACUGGUUCUUUAGGACACCAAUCUGGUGUUGAUAAUUUGAACUAUUUGUAUCUGUAUCUUUCAUUUAAAAAGAAAUGGAAUACAGGCAUUCCUGUUGUGUCUCAGUGGUAACUAGUAUCCGACUAGUACCCGACUAGUAUCCAUGAGGCUGCGGGUUUGAUCCCUGGCCUUGCUCAGUGGGUUAAGGAUCUGGUGAUACCAUGAGCUGUGGUGUAGGUUGCAGAUGCGGCUUGGACCUGGUGUUGCUAUUGCUGUGGCUGUGGUAUAGGCUGGCAGCUGCCGUUCCAAUUUGACCCCUACGCUGGGAACUUCCAUAUGCUGCAGGUGCUGCCCUAAAAAGCAAACCAAACCGAAACAACAGCAACCAAAAAAAUGAAUACAGAUCCCUUAUACCCUGUGGUUGAUUGAUCAUUCAUACCAGAGAGUAAGUACUUCAGUAUUGGUAGGGGUCUGCGCAGGGCAGAGAGUUGAUUUAAGGAAUGGAUCUUAUGACUCAGGUGCUGUGAGCCCCCAAUAUAUGUGUGUAUACACAGAGGUUCACAUACACACAGAGGUACCUUUUGCUGAAUUAUUUGACACUUUUAAAGUCUAAUUAGUUGUUUUCAGAGUAGCUAGACAAGAGAAAAGUUUCAUAUGGUAUCUCAACCAGUGAAUAAAAAGGUUUAUAACUCUCAUGUUGCUAGAACCUUUGCAUUCAUGGAGUAUACAUACAUUAUUGAAGAUAAAAAUAUUUUAAAUGUGUGCAGUGGCGUCAAGGGAGACAGUAUCACUUCUGCCUACAGCAGAACCUUGAACAAUGUGGGGGUGAGGGUGCCAACCCUCCAUGCAGUCAGAAAAUCGAAGUAUAACUUAUAGUUGGUCCUCCUUAUUUGAGGUUGCUCCUGAUUCAAGCAUCUGGGGAUUGUGUAGUACUGUGGCAUUUACUAUUGAAAAAAAAAAAAAAAUCCAUGUAUAAGGGGAACUGUGCAGUUCCAACUAGUGUUGCUCAAGGUCGACUGAACUUUUCGUAAAAUGGCAAAGUCAUGAGUAGCAUAAUUUUCUGGUAUUUCAAUGGUAUUGUGUUUGAGAAAAAGAUCACUGCUCCAAACGCCUUCACGAUUAAAUAAAAUACUGCACAAGGGAAUCUGCUUCUGAGAGAACGUUAGCACAGGCAGGACUAGAGACAAUUGAGAAAAGCCUUCACCAAAGAAAAACAUAUGUAAAACAAGGGAUAUUGGUUCCAGUAUGACAAUGAGGCCAAAAAAACGAGGACUUAACUCUCAGAGCAGAGAUAAAAGUAACGAGAAGCUGGAUGUAAUCACCGUUAAAACACAGAGCACACGGAGUUCCCGUCGUGGCGCAGUGGUUAACGAAUCCGACUAGGAACCAUGCGGUUGCGGGUUCGGUCCCUGCCCUUGCUCAGUGGGUUAAGGAUCCGGCGUUGCCGUGAGUUGUGG
ensembl:lncRNA